rnacentral:rRNA from 1 species
AGUGGCGGACGGGUGAGUAACGCGUGAGAAUCUGCCUUGGGGUCGGGGACAACCACUGGAAACGGUGGCUAAUACCGGAUAAGCCGAUUGGUGAAAGAUUUAUUGCCCGAAGAGGAGCUCGCGUCUGAUUAGCUAGUUGGUGAGGUAAGGGCUCACCAAGGCAGCGAUCAGUAGCUGGUCUGAGAGGACGAUCAGCCACACUGGGACUGAGACACGGCCCAGACUCCUACGGGAGGCAGCAGUGGGGAAUUUUCCGCAAUGGGCGAAAGCCUGACGGAGCAAGACCGCGUGAGGGAGGAAGGCUCUUGGGUUGUAAACCUCUUUUCUCAGGGAAGAAGCUCUGACGGUACCUGAGGAAUCAGCCUCGGCUAACUCCGUGCCAGCAGCCGCGGUAAUACGGAGGAGGCAAGCGUUAUCCGGAAUUAUUGGGCGUAAAGCGUCCGCAGGUGGCGAUUCAAGUCUGCUGUCAAAGCACGGGGCUUAACUCCGUAAAGGCAGUGGAAACUGAAUAGCUAGAGUGCCGUAGGGGUAGAGGGAAUUCCCGGUGUAGCGGUGAAAUGCGUAGAGAUCGGGAAGAACAUCGGUGGCGAAAGCGCUCUACUGGACGGCAACUGACACUCAGGGACGAAAGCUAGGGGAGCGAAUGGGAUUAGAUACCCC